rnacentral:rRNA from 1 species
UACGUAGGGCGCAAGCGUUGUCCGGAAUUAUUGGGCGUAAAGAGCUCGUAGGCGGCCUGUUACGUCUGCUGUGAAAUCCCGGGGCUUAACCCCGGGCGUGCAGUGGAUACGGGCAGGCUGGAGGCAGGCAGGGGAGAACGGAAUUCCCGGUGUAGCGGUGAAAUGCGCAGAUAGCGGGAGGAACACCGGUGGCGAAGGCGGUUCUCUGGGCCUGUACUGACGCUGAGGAGCGAAAGCGUGGGGAGCGAACAGG